AAUGGACGCCCCCGUGCGGGGGCGGGGUCAUGUGGUGACGGCACUGCGGAGCGAAGGUCAGCCCGCCCCCAGCCCCGGCUAGCCAAUCACUGCCCUGGGAGGGGGUCGCGGUUUGCGCGUCAGAAGGGCUCAGGAAGCAACCACUGCCUCGGCGAGACCGGAAGGGUUAUGAAGUCUCUUAAAACAAUUUUCCACCGCAGUCGCGAUGUCCAUUGGGGAAGAAGCCGAGACCGAGUCGAGGAGCGGAAAGACGAUCUGUGAUAGAGCCGGGUUAGAGCUCAACUAGAUCUGUAGUUUCUCCAUCCAAACUACACUUUGCCAUGUUUAUUCAUGAAUAUGCGUGGGCUGGACUUUCCCUCUCUGUAGUGUAUCUAUCAUGCUUGCUGAAAUGUGGCGAGCACUCCCAAGGAGUACGUGGUGCAGAAGUCCAGAGAGAUUCCCGGUUUGGGAUUUUGAGUGACAAGGAUUCCGCGUCCAUUCCAAGCUGCUUCAGACACAGGCAAUUGUCAGACUCCAGGCUUUAGCUGCGGUCCAAGGGCACCUCCUGGUGGCAGCAGGGUACGGGCUAGGUGGACUAAUUAUCCCGUUCAACAAAGCCGUUUACACGGAUUGAUGGACUGAGUUUAUCUCCUAGUAGAGGCACCAGGAUGGUUGUCAAAACAAUUCCUCAUUGCGCUAGUUCCAACACCAGCGCCUCCGAUACUGUAAAGACCAGCUCCCCAAGUUGAUUUCCUAUACAAGCUACUUGGAAACGUUUCUUUACCAAAUCCAUGUUUCCCAGUCAUUUCAGAAGCCAUUGUCUAAUUGUAUUAACAGACACACAGUUUUAAAAUUACAUUCUUUCUUUCCGGAGAUUGGGUUUCUCGUGCACUCUUGGCUGUCCUGGAAUCCACUCAGGGUCUGCUAUCACCCAACCUCAUACAUUGUAUUUUGGGUUCUGUCCUCUUCCCAAAUUCCAUGAGGUCUCAACUAAUGUUCCACUAACGGUUACCACCUUUCUAUAAAAUUUUUAUUUCAUUCCUUUCCUUUUCUCUCUCCUUUUUGAGAUGGCCUUACUAGGUAGUCUAGGCUGCUGUGUAGCCCAGACUAGCCUUGAAUUCACCAUCCUCCUACCUCAGCCUCCCAAGUGAUGGGAAUUACAGCUGUGUACUACCAUUUCUAGCCUCUGGUUUUCCCUUUUUUUUUUUAAUAGUGAAAAAAAUUAUGUGAUCCGGGUGGUGGUGACAUAUGCCUUUAAUCCCAUCACUCGGUAGGCAGAGGCAGGUAUAUCUCUGAAUUCAAGGGCUGCCUGAUCUAUAGAGCAAGUUCCAGGAUAACCAGGGCUACACAGAGAAACUCCGUCUCGAGGGGAAAUAAAAGAAAAUAUUAUGCAUAUGGUUGUGUCUUUGUGAAUAUAUGCCAUGUGUGUGUAGGUGUCCACAGAGGCCAGAAGAGGGUGUCGGAUCCCAUGGAGCUUGAGUUAUAGGUAACUGUGAACUGUCCAAUGUAAUGUCUUUUUUUCUUUUUUUGUAAAUGCAAUGUAAAAAAUGUAAAAAAAUUUUGGGGUCCUCUGCAAGAGCAGCAAUUGUUCUGAACUGCUGAGCCAUCUCUUCAACCUCUCAAUAACUAUACUGGUAUGUCAAUAUCAGUUAAUAUUUAUGCUCAAACUUUCCCUAUAUUUUCACAAAUACCCUUUUAUAGUUGGCUUCUUUGCUGGACCUAAACAAGAUUCACCCAUUGUACAACUGUCUAAAUUAUGUAAAUGUAUGUUAUGUAGCUAAUUAUUCCUUGCUUUUCCUCACUAAGUGUGAUAUGUAAAGUUUAGUUUCUGAGUUACUCCUUGCUGUGCAGCCAUGCAUUUCAGCUUCCGUUUGUUGGAGAUAAGAUGCUAGAAUUGCCUCAGUUCCUCAGCAUUUUACACUACAUUGUGGAUAACAGUCUAUAUGUGUUUUAAUUCUGUAGAGGAAUAUAAAUUCAAGGGUAAAUUUGCUGAGUUGCUAGGUCAUAGAAUGCAUAUAACCACUAACAUGUCACCAGGCUUGAUGGCGCAUGCCUUUAAUCCCAGCUCUUAGGAGGCAGAGGCAGGGAGAUCUCUGUAAAUUCAAGUACAUCCUGGUCUAUAGGGCAAGUUCCAGGACAGCCAGGGCUAUACAGAGAAACCCUGUUCCAAAACAAAGCAAAAACCAACUAACCAAAAAAGCCAAACCCUAACUUGUCUAAGUAGUACCAAGUUCCCAGAAAAGCUCUGCUAGAAUAACCUUGAAACACGCGAGGGACACUGGUGUUUUUUCUGUCUUUACCAAGGAUUGACAUUCACUUUCCUAAUUUUUGUCAGUUGAAGAGGUGUAAGGUGUUAUUCCUAACUUGCUUUGAUUUGUUUUUGUCUCAUUACUAAUGAUUUGGAAAAUAUCUUCUUGUUCUUAAAGUCUUGGGGUUUGUGUGAAUUUAAAUCACCUUUCCUGGGCCAGGCUGGAUGCCUUCAAACCCAGCACUUGGGAGGUAGAAGCAGGUGGAUCUCUGUGAGUUCAAGGCCAGCCUGGUCUACAAAACAAGUCCAGGACAGUCACAGCUUGUUACACAGAGGAACCCUGUCUUGAAAAAACAAAAACAAAUUCCUGCCUGUCUUUCAGGUUACAGGCUUUGUGUUGAGCUGUAGGGUUUCUCUGUGUAGCCUUGGCUGUCCGGGACUUACUCUGUCGACCAAGCUGGCCUUGAACUCACAGAUUCACCUGCCUCUGCCUCCCUGAGUGCUGGGAUUACAGGUGUGUGCCACCGCACCUGGCUGUAGUUAUUUCUAAUUGGCUUUAAAUACCUUGUCAUUCUACUAGUAACUUUGUCUUUGGAGGGAAAUCCUUUUUAAUAUAACCAAAUUAAUUACUGUUUCAUAAAGCCUGCUCUUUUGUUCUUUUUAAGAUACCCUCUCCUACCCCAAGUCAUAGAGUAGUCUGUGUUCUCUUCAUUCUCAAUACCUCCCACUUUCAGGCCUGUGCUCCAUUUUGAAAAGUGCUAUCCAAUGGAGAUAUAAUGAGCCGUAAAAAUAACUCAACAUAAACUGGAAAAAUGGUUUGUGGGUGCAACUCAAUAAUAAAACAUUAAUCUAAUAUACACAAGGUCCUAGGUUUCAUAACAAGCACAUUGAAUAAAUACAUUAAUGAAAUACAAAUUUCUAAAAGCAACAAAAUAUAAAAACUUGAAAUCUAUUUUAAUAUUUCUGACAUUUCAACACGUAAUCAAUAUAAAAAUUGAGAUAUCAGAAUUCCCCUUGAAGUCCCGGGAAUCUGUUACUUCAGCACAUCAAAGUUUAGACUUACCACACUUUGGGUACUCAGUAGUCCCAUAAGGCCAGUGGCUACCAUGUGCGUCAACACAAGCAAAACCCAUCCUUGUUAGUGGUAGUCGGUAAAGAUGCAAAUAAGUUCACUUCUAACUCGCCCAGUUCUGUCUGUUCCUGUUUCCCACCAGUCUGCAGGGCAGACACUGAGGCUAUUUUUGAGGCCUAACCUGUUCUGUAUCCUUCAGCGCUCCGUCCCAUCUACCAUCUCGCUGGGUCUUUUCCUCUCUUCCACCAACAUUCAAACAUUUCUCUCCUGAAGGCUUGUCUCCUAGCCCCAUGCUUAUCGUCUUCUCUGUCUUGCCGGUAGGGAAUCCUAUCCUGAAGUAGCUUCAGGAGCUUCUCACCUAACUCCUGCAAGGACUUUUCUGCAGGAGCACGUCCGUCAGUGGCAUACUUCCUGCCUUUUAGAUCCAGGCAAUCAUUUCUCUAUUAAUCCCUCUCUCACACAUACCACCUCUGCUUCCAAACUCUGCAGAACCUCAUGAUCUGAGUCCUCCACAGUAACUCUCCAAUGUGUAACAGGGCAGGUUUCAGUUAUUCUUGAAUUAUGAAACAAAAAGUCUGUAUCCUACUGAUAAUUAUUUUGCCCGUGGAUGGGCUGUUGCUGUUGCAUGUGGGGUACUGAAUCCCCUUAAGAGAAAGGAGAGUUACCCUGUGAGUGAUCUGCUGUGCCAGGUCUGAGGCGUGGAGGCCAUUCUGGGGCUGUGUGGUGAUAGUUCAUAGCCUGCGUGCACCUGACUGCUUGCCAUUGUUUUGACUGAUGGUAGUCAGGACUCCUUGGGGUUAUGCUGAAGACAGUAGUUUUCCUAAAUCAAGCAGACCCAAAACUUCCAAUUUUAAUAGCUUUUUAAAAACUCCAAAAUUUAAGCAAAAUACUUUUCUCCAUCUCUAGAAUGUGUUGUGUGUUUAUUUACAUGCUCAGGAAAUACCUUAUGGCUUCCUAGGGUGACAUUCUUCUAGAGUUCAGGAAGUGGGACUCUACCACUCUUCUGAUCCUGAGCUCCCUUGAUGCUAUGGAAAAAAGAAAGCCGGGGCUAGCCUUUCUCCUGUCGGCUGAGGGGUGGCUAAGACUAGGCUGUGGGAAUAUUCCUCACCACCUCUUACUAAAAACAGGUGAGAGACUUGAGAGUGAAGAAAACUAUGGGGCUAGGAGUGGAGUUCAAUGGUAGAGGGCCUGCCUAGCAGGCCCAGGCCCAGGCCCAGGCCCAGGCCCAGGCCCAGGGCUCCACCAGCACUGCAAGAAAUUAAGCCUUUUUUUUUUUUUUUUUUUUUUUUUUUUUUAAA